UACGUAGGGGGCAAGCGUUGUCCGGAGUUACUGGGCGUAAAGCGCACGCAGGCGGUCUUUUAAGUUUGGAGUGACAGUUGGCGGCUUAACUGCCAAAAGUGCUUCGAAAACUGACAGACUUGAGGGCUUCAGAGGGACACGGAAUUCCGGGUGGAGUGGUGAAAUGCGUAGAGAUCCGGAGGAACACCAAAGGCGAAGGCAGUGU
rnacentral:rRNA from 1 species